UACGGAGGGAGCGAGCGUUAAUCGGAAUUACUGGGCGUAAAGCGCGCGUAGGCGGCUUUGUAAGUCGGAUGUGAAAGCCCUGGGCUCAACCUGGGAAUGGCAUUCGAUACUGCAGAGCUAGAGUAUGGGAGAGGGAAGUGGAAUUUCCGGUGUAGCGGUGAAAUGCGUAGAUAUCGGAAGGAACACCAGUGGCGAAGGCGACUUCCUGGCCCAAUACUGACGCUCAGGUGCGAAAGCGUGGGUAGCGAACAGGAUUAGAUACCCUGGUAGUCC
rnacentral:rRNA from 1 species